CAACUCCUCGGCGCCCCCACCCACCAGGCACCAGCCCCCGGAACCGCCGCCGCCGUCACCUAUAACCUCGCGCGCGCACCCUGUGGGCCAGGAUCUGUCCGCCAUCCACCCAUCGCCUCCGCCCGCUGCUCCCCGUCGAUCUCCGCGCGCUGCCACCCCACCUUCCCGGCCAUCCCCUCCGUGCGCCGCCGCCCCACCUCACUUUCCCCGCGCAACGCCGCUGCCCUCCCUACCUUCCCCGUGUAAUUCUGCUGCCCUACCCGGCCCCAACCGGCGCUACAACCCCGGCGCCGCCCGGCCCCCACAUGCCCCAACCGGCGAGGCCGUCGUCGCCUUGCCCCUCCCAAACCUUGCGCAUCGCCAACGGCCGCACCACAUCGCCGAUGCCGGAGGACAUCAUACGCCUUCACCUCCUCCGUCGACGGAUGCCACCGACCACCGGCUCUCGCAGCGCCUCACUCUUGCGGCAUGUCUCCAGGAGGGGUCAUCGGAGUCCUUAAUCGCUUGCACUACUUGCUUUUAGCAUCUUGUCCAUGGAGUCAAGGCGCUGUGUGGUGUGCGAUCUCGUUUUUGGAUGGGGCAUAGAAAUCUCGCCUUUUGCUCCUGUAGGAGAAAUCUCGCUUCCCUGCUGCUGUUAUGACCAUGUAUUGUUUCAAAAUGACCUUUUGUCUGAAGUUCGGUAGUAUCUGUUGGUGCAAAAAAGGUGCUUCAGUUUCAUGGGUCCUUCAAAAAAUGAAUGGGAAAAAGGAGUUUUCUUCUCCAAAAUGCAUCACUGCUCUGAAGUGCUAAUUCUUCUUGUGUGCUUCUAUCGAGGCUUGUGUUUCAUGGAGACAGAGACAUAGAAAUUGUGGAAAUCAUUAAUGUUUCCUUUCUGUCUAUGUACUUAAGAAACAUUUUGUGUGAGAAAAAAAGGUUAAUGACACAUUCUUUUGAGAGAUACACAGUGCUUUGGGAUCCAAUGUUUUUCUACACAAAAUUGUGCAUUUGUGUCUCGCCAAUGUAGCUGGCAACACAUACUUUGUACAAUAAAAACAUUAGUUUCAUGUGAGAAGUUCAAAUAUAAAAUAAGGACAAGUUCACGUAUAGUAAAAUUAGUGCAAAUAAAAAAAUGUAGUGAGCCAUGUGUUGUUGAUAUUUUUUAAACAAAAAUUAAAAUUAAAAUAACGAAGGUGUUUAAUGUUCUACUUGUGGCAUAUUAUUUGUUAUAACUGCGUCUGCUCUGCUUGUUUCUUCCCAGCAUCUCCUUGGUUGUUGUAAUGUUGCUUCGUUUUGGUUGUAAAAUAUAUGCGGUCUAUUGUUUGUUAUAUGUUUGAAAGAUAGUGCAAAUCCGGGUGGGGGUGUUCCUCACAUAUGUAUGUUCUCGACAUAGUUGAAGCUUCAUAGAAUUUUUUCCUUUUCAAAUGUCAGAAGUUCACUUGUGCAAAAAAGGUUCCUUAACCUCAUUUACAGGAGAAAGUACACAUAAAUCCUGAGGUUAAAUUUUUUAAACUACAAUUGUUUGUGUUCUAAAGAACAAGUGCACGCAAGUUCAGAAUUGGUAAAAAUAGAAUAAACAUCAACACUAAGGAAACCUU